rnacentral:rRNA from 1 species
AUUGAACGCUGGCGGCAGGCCUAACACAUGCAAGUCGAACGGUAACAGGAAGAAGCUUGCUUCUUUGCUGACGAGUGGCGGACGGGUGAGUAAUGUCUGGGAAACUGCCUGAUGGAGGGGGAUAACUACUGGAAACGGUAGCUAAUACCGCAUAACGUCGCAAAACCAAAGAGGGGGACCUUCGGGCCUCUUGCCAUCGGAUGUGCCCAGAUGGGAUUAGCUAGUAGGUGGGGUAACGGCUCACCUAGGCGACGAUCCCUAGCUGGUCUGAGAGGAUGACCAGCCACACUGGAACUGAGACACGGUCCAGACUCCUACGGGAGGCAGCAGUGGGGAAUAUUGCACAAUGGGCGCAAGCCUGAUGCAGCCAUGCCGCGUGUAUGAAGAAGGCCUUCGGGUCGUAAAGUACUUUCAGCGGGGAGGAAGGGAGUAAAGUUAAUACCUUUGCUCAUUGACGUUACCCGCAGAAGAAGCACCGGCUAACUCCGUG